CUUCCUUUAUCUGGGCCUCAGUUUCCCCAUUGGUAAAAUGAAAGACUCAGCUACAGCAAUGGUUUUCAAAGUGUGUCCCACAGAGUCCAGCAUUUUGCUGAGGAUCAAGGAGAACAAGAUGGCAGAGGAGUAGGUGGAUGUGGAGUACAUCUCUCUCCACGGAUACAUCAGGAAUACACCUUCAGACACAGAAGUGCAUGUAGAACAGUUGAGAGUAGACAGGAGGGCCUGACCAGUGGAGAAGAAUAUAUAGAACCAGGCAAACUCAGGAGGACAAAGAACUAGGGGGGAAAACAGGAGUAUUGGUAGGACUGGGACUACCCCUGGUGGGCGGGGGAACUGAAGCAGGGGUCCGAUCCCCACAUCGAGGCAAUUGUCUGAGUCAGAGGAGAAACAUUUAAGGCUGAGAAUGAAACAGCUGAUCGGUGGUAGCCUAAAUGGAAUGAGGAUCAGACAGUCCUUGCCACAGCCGUACACACCCCAGACAGGAACGGGGGUCUCCUGGAAGGGGCAGCGGCUGGGACCUGGAAUUUUGGGAUUGUGACAAUCCCAGUGAGAGGGCUGCUGUUGACUGCAGAAAGACGGAUCAGCGAUGUGAGCUAGGAGAUCGUGGUGGGAGAUGCCUGUGGAGGAAAGCCAGGCAGCCGUGGAAGCAAGGCGAUACUGCUGAGUCAUGUGUAGGGGACGGAGCCAUAGCCUCUACCUUCACACACACCAGCAUUGGCAGCUGAACAACAGAGAGACUGGCCCAUCAAACACCUGACGCACUGAACUACAGAGUAGGAUCCCACCCAAGGAGCUCCUUUAAGUGCCUGACCUGCCAAACAAGAAGGACCCCAAGCAAGGGAGCCCUCUGAGUGCCUGAACCUGCAGAGCUACAGAGAAAGACUGGCCAAAGAGGCCUUCUGAUCACCAGCUACAAGAGGCUCGAAAAACGACUCUAAUAGGGCCGUAACUCCCUGAACACUUGGCGCUGCCAGGGUCCCUGCAAGCCAAGCAGCUGCAACACCUUCAUGCUCAACUCUCAGUGAGGCAGAGCUGCCGCAGGCAAAAAAAAAAAAAGUCUUCUGUUUAUGCUCAUAGGGUCACUUCGGUCAAACUCCUUGCGACCCUGUAGACUGUGGCCUGCCAGGCUUCUCUGUCAGAGAGGGGGUUCUCCAGGCAAGAAUACUGGAGCGUAUUGACCAAUACUGGUUGCAUACCCUUCUAGAGCACUAUAUUUUCUGCUGCCCUAGCCACCAACCCCCCUGAGUACCUGGUGUUGCCAGAACCCCUGCGACCCAAGCAGCUGCACCACCUCCAUACCUGGCCCUAGGGGCAAACCCAAGCCCUCCAGGGCAGCCUCAGGAGCUAAACCCCAACAGAUGACCCACAUGUAGAGGUGGAAAUAAAACCACAAUUGAAACCCAGGGGGCAGUGUGGCUAAGGAAGAAGACCCCAAACCUUCCCACCAGCUGUACAAGGGGCAGAUUAAAUCCACACGAUCAACUAAGCAGACUCUGCAUCUGUGGAAUAUACAAAAGGCCGCUGAGAGCUCCCACAAAAGAAGACGCACUAGCUCUGAUGGCUGUGGAUGUUGGAGGCAAGAACACGCAGGAGUAGGACCAGAUUAGAAUCUGAGCUGCCCCCACAGCAGGUCCAGAGAUCAGCACAGUGUUGGAGGGCAUCCUAGGGAGGUGAGGUGGACUGUGACUCCCAGUGGGGGAAAGGACUCUGACAGCAGAGACUCAAGAAAAACAUUUAUUAUUCUUAUAUUUUAAUUGUUCUGUAGAUUCUUUUGGAUUCCCCCCUCAACCCCGGGCCGCCUUUUUUCUCCCUUUAUCCCCGCUCUGUUGUACUUGUCGAUUUUAUUGGCGCUAAGAAAUCCAAUUAAGCUUCUGAGCUCUUUUUUCCCCUCAGUCACAUUUUUUUAUUGUUGUCAUAAACCUCUGCCUCUACAUUGGGCUUUUGGAGUUCUGCGGAGUUUUCCUCUUUUUAAAAUUUUAAUUUCUUAGACCGAUUAUUAUUUUUUCUCCAUUUAUUCCUUUGUUUGCUUUUCCUGCUGUUCUUUUCCCCUUGCAGUUAAUCUUUAACGUAUAUAAAUCUUCUUUAUCCACCUCUGUUUAACAUCUAGUCCUUCUUUUCUUUCUCUUGGUUCUUCUCAACAUAUUUGUUAAUUUUAUUUUCAUUGCUUUAUUCCCCAGUUGGCACUUUGCUUCAGUUUUGUUUUCCAGUUUGUACUUUAAUUAGUUUUGUUCUGGCAUAUAUAGUUUUUGGUUUCCUUCCUUUGCCAGGUCAAUCUAUUGUACUUAAAUAUUUGCUGGACUGUUUCGAUUUUGCUUCUGGGUGUAUAUGUAUACGUGUAUAUUCAGUCACACUUUCUAUUGUUGUUACAAACCUCCGCCUCUACAUUGGGCUUUUGCAGUCCUGUGGAGUUUUUCCUUUUUUUCCCCUUUUUUCUUUCUUCUUCCAUUUUUUUCUCUUUUUAAAAAAUAAUUUUAAUUUUUAAUUAUUUUAAACCAAUUAUAUUUUUUCUCCAUUUAUUCCUUUGUUUGCUUUUCCUGCUGUUCUUUUCCCCUUGCAGUUAAUCUUUCAUGUAUAUAAAUCUUCAUCAACCUCUAUUUAAGUUUGCAUAUCUAUUCUUUUCUUUCUUUCCUUUCCUCUCAACAUAUUUGUUUUGUUUUUCUUGCUUUAUUCCCCACUUGGCACCUUGCUUUAGUUUUGUUUUCCAGUUUGUGCUUAAGUUAGUUUUGUUCUUAAUUGGUAAAUAUAAUUUUUGUUUCCUUUGUUCACCGGAUCAAUCUACUGUACUUUAUUUUUGUUGGGCUGUUUUCCAUUUGCUCCUGGGUGUAUAUGUAUAUGUGUAUAUUCCAUUAUUUUAAUUAUUAUUUGCCUGAUUUUGUAACUGCCAUUUGUCUGGGGUUCAUCUUUGAUUUCUUGUUUUUGGAUAUUUGUUUUACUCUCCCUUAAUGCCAUAACAAACCACUUACCAGAGAUCAAACCCUGAGCCUUUGGAGUGGGAGCACUGACUUCAAGACCCUGGACUACCAGAGAACUAACCCUAGGGAGGAUCAAAUAGUAAGAACUCACACAAAGGAAACCACUUGAAUACAAAACCCGGCAUUACCCAACCCCCAGUAGCACCCUGUGCAGCACGCUUCAUCUAACAAUUUUGUUUAGAUGAAACGUGAUCUGGGAGGGAGGGUCCCUCCUGAAACCUCAGUGGAUAAAGUACAGGUGGUCUAAUUUAAGCGUGAUCAUGUCAUUUCUUUUUGUUACUGAUUAGUUUCAGGGUGCACACGUGACCCAGUUUCAGGCAAUGGGCUAUAAAGGGG
ensembl:lncRNA